UAAUAGUAAAAGUAUUAAGGUGUCGACACAAUCUCACCAUUAAAUUUUGAAUUAUUUAAUAGUAUACUAAGGAAAGAGUGACCAAGUUUUCCGGAGGCAGAGCCCGGAAUCGAACCGGUGUCUCAGCAUAAGCGGCUGAUGCCCCAAACACAAAAAAAAAAAAUAGAUUGAAUACUCUUUAUUGGCACACCUCAGUACAAGAUACAGCUUAGGUCGGUAACAGCCCUCAGAGCCUCAGACUUCAGGGGUCUUAUGAUGAUUAUAAAUAAUUAUUUUUUACUAAAUAAUCUAUUUUGAUAUUCUACAGUAUUCCUGUUCAGGUACAUACCUACUACACAGGGCUAUUUCGGCUUAUUAUAUUUUAUUAAAGUUUAUAGUGUUUGGGUGUCGGCACAAUUGCAGCAUCCGACGCGCCGUCUGCCGCGCCAAUUGCGCCCGCGCACCCAUCGGUCACGGUUGCAGCUGAUAGCCCAAUCAAUAAGGCCCUUUAUUUUGACGACCGGGCUGGCCUUGUCGGUAGCCUAUGAAGCCAAUAGGUUCGAAUAACGCGAAAUAAAAUAUUGUCAAGAGGAGAAAUAGCAAUCAUAGAGAGAAAUACUUCAAAUACAUUCAAGUACUCAUACUCAUAGCCUUUACGGGGAUAUCAGCCAUGCACUCAUACUCUUUUGUUACAUGUGUUUACACUCAAUAAAGUGUGAAAUAUUAAUGUAUUCUCUGACUCAUUUAGACAUCAAAUGACUAUCUUCAUAUUCCUUAUGUAAUCGUGAAUGAAAAUGACCGCUGUAAGUUAUCAUGUGACAUUAAAUGUUAUUUUAUCAUUUAUCUAGUACUGUAUAUUGUGCUUUGUAAACAGGUUACUUUGAGUGUUAACGUCCGUAUUUAUGUUAUGUCAGGGAUAGAUUCUUGUCUCGGAUUAUGUACAGUUUCCUGGAGUGUAAUUGAGAUAAAAUGUAACCAAGUGCUCUGUUCUUUCAGGCAGUACCCAUUUCACGUUCAGGAUAAAAUCCUCUGAUGCGCCGUCGGAAAAUUUCCAAUAUUGUGAAAAAUCCACAUGGAAAUUCACUGGGCUGUGCUCUGAAGAAUUGUUUGACAUGAUGCCAACGGCCACUUUCUAUCACCGUGCCGCUCGCCGUCGGCAGGGUGUUCAUCCUCUCACCCUAGAACCUAAAUGGUCGCGUACUGUGCAGUUGAAGAGGAAUUUCCUCCCGCGGACGCUCCGGCUGUGGAAUGAGCUUUCUUCUGAGGUUUUCCCGAGGGUCUACAGUGUGGGGUUCUUCAAAAAAGGAGUGUACAGGUUUUUAAAGGGUCGGCAACGCGCAUGUAGCUCCUCUGGAGUUACAGGCGUAUAUGGGCUACGGAGACUGCUUACCAUCAUGUGGGCCGUAUGCUUGUUUGCCAUCGACGUAGUAUAAAAGAACCUAGGCACUUACUGCAAAAACAAGAUACCAUUCUUAUUCAUUAGUAAACAAACAAACAGUGCAAGUAUAUUAAAAGAUUCUAUAAAGUUUAAUGGCACUAGAGAUGACCACAUCGUCUGGCAUUGACCGCUGUGCAUUUAUCGCUCUCUUUGACAUUUGGGCUGACGCAUCGUACCGCCUGGGCAUACUCACAUGAACCAGUAUAAGCAGAUCUCUGAUAAAGCACAGUUAUUACUGAUCUAGGGGUCACACUAAUAUUGGUAUUCCCUAAGCUAAUGGCGUCAGCGAAAGAAUUAACAGUGACCGCUGUGAGUGAACGUUACUGGUUGAAAACAGACGGGCAUUUAGGUCAAAUUUUAGUUGCCUAGUGCCCACAUAACUUCCUUUACGUAGCGUAGGUUAAAAACAAUGUAAUUUAAGCGAUAUCAUUUUGUUGAAUGAGUCCCGUAAUACACAUACACAUAUUUUACAUACGUGCAUAAUGUCGCAUAGUACUUGCAUUAAUAAUGAUUAUUUGUUUAAUGAUAGUAUUGUAUAAUGGGAAAAAAACCUUUCCGUACGUGAAAUUAAAUUACAUAUGUGUAAGGUGAGGUUAUUAGUUUUUUAUCUAAAUAUAAUAGACAGGAAAGGUUUGUUUGUAUUUUUAUUUGGUGUAGCGCCCUACUUCUGAGCGGAUGUUGGUGAAUACAGAUUUUACUGCGUAGGUACUUAUAAACAAUUAUUAACUGAAUAAAAAAACAAAAGAUUUGACAGAUGUCACCAAAACAGAAUGGCCGCCACGGGCCGCCAAUAUUAAUCUACCCGUGUCGAUUAAAAAACCCUUUAUUAUACGUCAUCCUUUUUUGCCUACCCCAUAGUAAACGCAUGUAUUAUGGCCGCACUUAUCACAAAUGACAAGAUAUAGCAUACAUUACUUUCUAACACAGCGCGUUAAUUUCUUAUUAACGACGGCACAAUCAUGUCAUUCUAUAAUUGUAUCCAUAUUACGCCUUCGUCAGACAAAUGGAUACAGAGAGCCUACCGCGAAACACGUAAUCUUGUUAUCUGCCUCUCUAUCGCUCGAAUAUGAAAGAGAAAUAGAGAGGCUGAUAACGAAAUGUCGAUUUUCGUGUUUCGCGGUGGCCCUCAGGACUCUUUAUAAACUCGUUAUCUUAAGGUGACCGAGAUUUAAAUUUAAUGUAAUUAAAUGAUUUAUUAAUGCAUGUGUGGAGGGUUACAUUCUUAACUAAAACAUAAUUAUAAGCAUUAGGUAUUAUAAUUUUUGUAAUUUCGCACGUCAUGUACUUUACGCAGUUUCUACCCGUGGAAACUUGUAAUUGGCUUACUGUCUCUAUUUCGCAACCUAUUUUGCUACUCUAGCUGUAAGUUUUCCUAAUGAAACUACUCCCACCGAACUCUAGCUUUUCAAACUUAUUUAGUGUACAAACAUUUCAUGACGACACACAUAAUCACAUUAUAUAAAUAUCAAUAUAUUGUUCUUCUUCUUCUUUUAAAAUAUGGCUUCCAUCAAAUCUAUGAUGAUUUUUCCAAUGUCAAGUUUCGUUGUAAGUUUUAAGUCUGCUCGUAGAGCAUGACGUUGUUUGGUAGUUGCUUUUAGUAAAGAGAUAGCUGGACCUUACUAAAAGCCACGAUGGAUUGCCGAGUGUUGAUGAGUGGUUAAACGCGUUUCCAGAUUAGUCUUUCAUUAGCUGCACACUUCUACGACAGUUCACUGCAUAAUAAGCUAUCAAUAUUACACUUUAAACUAGAUGAAUGAGCAAAACACAAAAAAAUAUUCUCGAGACGUCUUCGCCAUCUUGAAUCUCAACGAUCUCAACGUCAACCCAAUAUAUUGUUAUUUCUGGCACAAUUUAAUGUCAGAUGAAUGUACAGCAAUAAGUGUCAUGUCAUACAGCUGUCACAUAACGACUUACUCAUAUUAUACCUAGCGUCCUGGGAAAAUUGUGUAACAAACAAAUUUUGUUAAAGUUGCCUUAUCAUUUGUAAAUAUAAAUUAAUAGAAUAGACAUAUUUUUAUUAUAGAAAAAUAAACGGUU